rnacentral:lncRNA from 1 species
CUCUUAACAGGCGGGCUGAGGAAGUUGCCUCUCUCUGGCGCCUGCAUUCAAUGAACGUUUGUAAUGUUAGCAGGUGUGGACCUUGAGGAGAUUUUCUCUCCCUGGCUGCCCAAUUAUCAUUUUUAGAGAGGCAAUGCGAUAAUUGCUGAACGAUGUCACCUGACAUUCCUAGCGGGUGGGAGAGAGCCCUCUCCUGCCCCGCUCAUUGCCUAACUACCUGUAACAGGUGUGUGGGUGAGUGCUCCCUGUGAUGGAACGGUGUCCUGUUCAGGACUGGGUGCCACCUGGCACCUUGAGCUGCCAGGACCGGCUCGGGCUGCUCGCGAUCCCAAACUAGAACAAAUGGAAAUGUUCAGUUGUCUAGCUCACAGGGAUAUCCACAAGCCAGACCCAGAAAGCCUUUGCUACCAUUGAUGAAGAUGCCAAGUCCACAGCCCAACAGCCAGAAGACCCUUGGUCUAGGAUUAAUAUCAUCCUCAAGAAAGACCCUUCUCUGUGUCUCUGGUAUUCAAGCUAAGUGACCUUACAUGUGCGUCAUUCAUGCGGAAGAAAAAAAUGUAGUUUAACUUAGAGUGAUGAAAACAUCUGCUACUGGCAGUUCGACAGAGAGUGGGAAUGGAAGCAAUAGGAGUGGAUUAAAAAUAAAGAACAGGAGUUUUGACCCAGAUAUAAUUGGACCCCUGGGUCUUUCACUUUCCUGCGGUAUCACAUUGGGAACAAGAGCAGGGAAAGACAUUACUUAUACUUCCAGUUUCUCUUUUAUACAAUAGGUGCCAGAUUAAUUAUCUCAUGGUAUUGUUGAGAAAGAGAUGCCAUGUGUGGCCAACACAGUUCCUGCUACACAGUAGGCAUACAGUCAAUGGCAGGUCUCUGUUCAUAAUUUUAUCAUGGUUUUGGUUGAAAAAUUCAUUGUGAGUUUAACUUCUGGCUUUCAGUGCUAAAUAAAUAGUGCCUCAGUGAUACCACGAGAAUCAAGGUCAGAAGGAAUUAUUUUCUAGGGUACUGGAUAAUAAUCUUCAUUUGGAAUAAAGAGAGAUGUGUUUCUCCACUAACUUGUUUUUAUACACUUACUUAAUGAUUUGAAACCACUUUUAAACGAGCUAAGUAUCCUUCUCUGUCCCCUUAGAAAACAGAAUCAAUCCAAGCACUCACUUGUACAGCAGUUAGAUGAUAUGGUUUUAUUAUCAGAAUUUAGGGGUAGCUUGAAGAGAUCACUGGCACUUCUAUAUAAUUACUGUUAGAAAUAAUUAUUUAAAAAGAAGUAUUCCAAGGUCAAAAUAAUUUUUUGGUGAGUGUCCUUCAUCGUAGAGUUAACUCCACAGAACGAAUCAAUCCAUUCAAUUACCUGGGCGUUCUUUUUAUGACCUGUUUAUUUUAAAGGAUUAAACCUGGACAGUGCAUUAUGGGAAGUUACAUGUUCUCUAGGCACUUCAUUCGAGUACGAAUUUAGUAGCACUUGAACACAGUUAAAGUUAAAAUCAUUGCAAUCUUGCCCCAAGGGGAGAAAACAUGGAGGCCUCAGUUGCCCGUUGGUCAGUUUGUUGGUGUGAACUUUGCAUUCCUUUCUGAACGAGUUUUGGUUCUGCUUGCCCAAACUAAUUCAACAACUCCUCCAAGGUUGGAGGAGUAUCUCAGGCAUGUUUUUGACCUUUACUUUGCUGUUGGUAAAGUCAGGCAUAUAUUCUGUUAAUUGACAGCGUGGACUACUGUACUUCAGCUGUAAUGAAAACUACAAGAGGAGAAUCACUUGAACUCAGGAGGCAGAAGUUGCAGUGAGCAGAGAUUGUGCUACCGCACUCCAGCCUGGGCGGCAGAGCGAGACUCCUUCUCAAAAAAAAAAAAAAAAAAAAAAAACCAAAAAAACAAAACAACACAAAACAAACAAACAAAAAAACACAAAAAGCUGCACAGUAUUUCUCAAUAAUGUUCAUGGAAGACAAUUUGUAGGAUAAUCCAUUUCUUUAGAUACUUUAAGUCCUAACAUUUGGUGAAAUCAUACUAUAAAAACUAUGCUACCUGUAUGCUACUACUUAACAGAAGUGUGACUUCCUGGUAUCUGGCAAGUGUAACUUGUCACUCCAUAGCCAGCUCUUUUGAAAAUAUGGUUAUAGCACAUGUUGUUCAUUUUGGAUAAUAUCUCAUCCCUCAGUUUUAGGAAUAGAUUAAUUCCUUUGAACCACUAACAUUUAUUUUUUGUUGGCCAAACUAAUUAUUUAUAAAUGAUAUUUUCUUCUUUUUAUCAAAUAUUCAAGUCUCAAAGCAAUGUUUUUGAUCCACAGGAUUUUAUGACAUAUAUUUGCCUACUAAUCUUAUGUUCAGUUUCAUCUUAUGAUGCUCACCCCAAUUUCCCUUUGUUCCAAUUUGUUUAAAUCUUUGCUUUUUUAAAUUUCUUGUAUCAUGAAUCAUCUGUAAGCGAUAUCAUGGUAGCCGUGAAAAUGCAUGGUUCUAAUCUCUUUCAAGAGACCGAGCUGGGGUGCCCACGUCACUGACAGACCUAGAGAUCCACCACCAUUUAGAAAAACAUGUUUUCCCUGUGUAGGCUUCUCAGGGAUGAGGGCUAAUCGUGGUGUAUGUCCUGGUGCUGGCCCAUUUCUACGGGAUACAGGAUGCCUUAAGAGAGCAUCCUUUGGCUUGGGGAUCCCUAAUCACCCUGACCCCAACUUGUCUCGAGCUCUGCUGCAGUGUGAGGCUCUUCCUGCUCAGUCUUCCACAGCAUUACAUGCUGGAGGACCUUCCUGCUGACUCAGGCCCUGUCCCCUUUGCCUUCAAGUGAGUUUCUCCCAUUAAAUCCUCUGUACAUCUAAUGGUUUGGAUGUGUUUCCUCUCCAGACCUCAUGUUGAAAUGUGAUCCCCAGUAUUGGAGAUGGGGCCUAGUGGAAAGUGUUUGGCUUAUGGGGGUGGAUUUUUCAUAAAUGGCUUGGUGCCCUCCUCGUGGUAACGAGUGAGUUGUUGCUGUGAGUUCAUGCAAGAUAUGAUUGUUUAAAAGAGUGUGGCAUCCCUCUGCCCCUUGCUCCCACUAUACCUAUGUGAAAUGCUGGGUCCCCCUUCAUCUUACAUCAUGAUUUGAAGUUUGCUGAGGCCCUCAUCAGAAGCUAAGCAGAUGCUGAUGCCUUGAUUGUACAGCUUGCAGAACCGUAGUCCCAAUAAACCUCUUUUCUUUAUAAAUUACCCAACCUCAGGUAUUCUUUUAUAACAGUGAAAAUGUACUAAUAUUGGACAAAUGUACUAUAACAGAUGUUCUUCUUGGUGUAUACUUCUUGAAGGACGUGAAUUAACAGAGGUGAUCUAAAGAAUAGUCUAAACAAGGCAGACAUUGAGAUGGUCCUUGGGAAUUUGUUCACUUGCUGCUAAGGUAUCAAGGAUAACAUCAUUUUAAAUAUUCUAAUUGCCACAGAUAGUUUCUUAAAUAAGAUGGGAGUGUGGUUGCUAAAGAUUUCAUGGCCAAAUGCAGUGGCUCAAGCCAGUAAUCCCAGCACUUUGGGAGGCUGAGGAGGGCAGAUCACAAGGUCAGGAGUUCGAGAUCAGCCUGGCCAAUAUAGUGAAACUUCGUCUACCGAAAAUAAAAAACUUAGCCGGGCGUGGUGGUGUGUGCCUGUAAUCCCAGCCAGUGCGGAGACUGAGGCAGGAUAAUUGCUUGAACCUGGGAGGCAGAGGUUGCAGUGGGCCGAGAUCGUGCCACUGCACUCCAGCCUGGACGACAGAGCAAGACUCCAUCUCAAAAAAAAGAAAAAAAAAGAUUUCAUGAAGAGUAACCUGAGAAAACAGGGAAGUGCCCUUGUAGGUGAAAUGACUCAGGCUGAAUGAUGCAGGCACUUGAAAGGUAUGGGGGAAAGUCAUGUUCAUAAGAAGAGCAAAACUGUGAGUUUACACCCAAAUAAUAUUGGCCCUGCAGAGGAAUAAAGAGAAACUGAAAAGCUUUUACCAAAUGGAGGCUAAUGUGAAAGUCAAAUGGGCUUGUUAAGUUUAGAAUGAGGCCCAUAGGUCCUUAUGUGGAAGCAGACAGGGUAUUAAAGAGGAGGAGCAGUAGCCCUCCUGAGUCAUUAGGUAAGGCAGAUCUGUUAUGCUAAAGUCAGGCACUGACUCGAAAAAUAUGAAGCCCCGAAAAUGAAACAGGCCCAUCUAAAUGGAUGUUCCUGGGGAUUUUGAUUCUGCAGAUGUGGCCCACGUCUUCUUAAUAGGAGCUAGCACUUCAACCUGUGGAUUGAUAAAGCAAAUGUCUUCCUCAGAAGGCCAUUGGCCCUCCCUAGACCUGUUAUAGACUGAAUUGUUUCUCCCUAGAAUUCAGUGUUGAAGCCCUACCCCCCAGUGUGACUGUAAUAGGAGAUAGGAUGGGGUCAUAAUGGGGGGGUCCCUAAUCCAACAGGACUAGUGGCCUUGUGAGAAGAGAGAGCAACACCAGCAAUGCACAUGCAAAGAGGAAAGGCCCUGCAAGGAUGCUAAGAACGAGGACGGCCAUCCGCCCACCAAGGAGAGAAGUAUCAGGAGGAACAAACCGGCCAACACCUUGAUCUUGGACUUCCAGCCUCCAGAACUGUCCGCAGCUUGGGCUACCUUCCAGCAUAAAGUCACUAAAGAUGUGCCGGGCAUGAUGAAGGAAGAAAGCGACUACAUGCUGAAGGAGAUGGUGCGGGGACUCGCUAGUACCUAUUGGCAGGACCUGGGGAACUUUGGUGGGUGCUUGAUAAUGGGGACUGGAAUAAAAACUGGCUAAGCAAAAAUUUAUGGACUUGGAUUCACUUUCUCAGAACACAGUUUAAUACCUUGGCAAGGAUUGCAGCAUAUGGGGCAAACUCCCUGCAGGGUGACCCUUAGAAACCUGGAGAAAAUGUAAAAGCCCUUUCUUGAGGAAUUGUCAUUUCCUAAAUUGUCAUGAAGAAAGGUAGAGAAAGGUAGAAAGAGGAUGAGGAAAGUGGGUACUCUGGAAUGGACACAUUAGGUGAGGACAGAAGAUCUGCCAGAGGUUAAGUAUUAUGACACGCUAUUCACUAAAACCAUUAGACACACCAUUCACCAGCUGGUGAAAAAGGCUACCAGAAUCACUAAAAUUUCAGUGGCUGUUCUAUGCAGGCCAGGGCUGAAGGUAGCAGAGGCCGUCACAGGCUGGACUCACUGACA